rnacentral:rRNA from 1 species
GAUGAACGCUGGCGGCGUGCCUAACACAUGCAAGUCGAGCGAAAAGAUGAGGACCUUGCUCGUCGCACGUGAGCGGCGGAUGGGGGAGUCACACGUGUAUACCCUACCUAUAAGACUGGGAUAACUUCGCGAAAGCGGAUCCAACACCGGACAAUAUAGUGAACCGCAGGGUCCGCUAGUCAUAGACGGGUUUGCUGUCACGACUAGAGGGAUCCGCGCCGCAUUAGCUAGUUGGUACGGUAACGGCCUACCAAGGCUACGAUGCGUAGCCGAUCUGAGAGGGUGAUCGGCCACACUGGAACUGGGACACGGUCCAGACUCCUACGGGAGGCAGCAGUAGGGAAUCUUCGGCAAUGGGCGAAAGCCUGACGCAGCAACGCCGCGUGUGUGAUGAAGGUCUUCGGAUCGUAAAGCUCUGUUGUUAGGGAAGAACAACUUUGUGCGUAAACAUGCAGGUGUUGACGGUACCGGAUCAAAAAGCACCGGCUAACUACGUG